rnacentral:sRNA from 1 species
GCCGGGCACGGUGGUGCAUGCCUGUAACCCUAGCAGCUUGGGAGGCAGAGACAGGAGGAUCUUGAGUUCAAAGCCAGCCUCAGCAACAGUGAGGUGCUAAGCAACUCAGUGAGACCCUGUCUCUA